CUGGUGCUUUGUGGAGCUCCUCCCAGGGCACUCCCAGACACUCCCUGGGAAUUGCAUGGCAGGGAGUCACCUCUGUUCCCCGGGCAAGGGGCAUGCCCAGGCUCAGGCUGCUUACCCAGCUCACCUGGGCGCAGAGGAAGUCUUCUCUUCUGCACCAAAGGAAAGGGUGCUAAUCACACCAUCGACUGAGCCUUCAAAGGCACAGGGGCAAAUCAAGAUCCUGGCACCCAGACACCAAACACCUGAGGGAGGAGAGGAGGCACAGGAAAGAAGUGGCCAAAUCACAGCCUCUACUGAGACACCGGCAACCCCUCCCUGGUGAUCUGAGCCUAGCACUGCGAGCCUCCCCCUCUGGCUUCCUGAGGCACAGGCACCAGCUGGGAAGAGCUCCCUUUUCAAAGGUCUGACCUCAACGCGGUGGAGCCCUGCCCUAUCUGCCUGUGGAUUUUAACAACAUGCUCUCUUUGCUUUGCCCCUGACCCUGUGAGGAAGCUGCUUCCUGUAUGUUCUCUCCGUGGGACGUGUAUGUCUCCUUUUUGUGUUUUUUAGGCUUCCAAUACCUGCUUGACUAGUUUCCUAUACUAAAUUCUCUGUCAAAAUAACUGAGGUGAC
rnacentral:lncRNA from 1 species